GGUAAAAUGGCUGAUAAUAGGCGAUAAAUUGUAAAUUUAUUUAUGAACUUGAGGUUCUUUUACCA
rnacentral:tRNA from 1 species